AGCAGAGUGGCGCAGGGGAAGCGUGCUGGGCCCGUGACCCAAAGGUUCAUGGAUCGAAAUCACGCGCUGCUA